rnacentral:rRNA from 1 species
UGCAAGUCGAGCGAUCGCAGCAAUGCGGGAGCGGCAGACGGGUGAGUAACGCGUGGGAACGUACCCUCCGGUUCGGAAUAACUCAGGGAAACUUGAGCUAAUACCGGAUACGGUCGAGAGGCGAAAGAUUUAUCGCCGGAGGAUCGGCCCGCGUUCGAUUAGCUAGUUGGCGGGGUAAUGGCCCACCAGGGCGACGAUCGAUAGCUGGUCUGAGAGGAUGAUCAGCCACAUUGGGACUGAGACACGGCCCAAACUCCUACGGGAGGCAGCAGUGGGGAAUAUUGGACAAUGGGCGCAAGCCUGAUCCAGCCAUGCCGCGUGAGUGAUGACGGCCUUAGGGUUGUAAAGCUCUUUCGCUAGGGACGAUAAUGACGGUACCUAGACAAGAAGCCCCGGCUAACUUCGUGCCAGCAGCCGCGGUAAUACGAAGGGGGCUAGCGUUGUUCGGAAUUACUGGGCGUAAAGCGCGUGUAGGCGGGCUUUUAAGUCAGGGGUGAAAUGCCAAGGCUCAACCUUGGAACUGCCUUUGAUACUGGAAGUCUUGAGUCCGGGAGAGGUGAGUGGAACUGCGAGUGUAGAGGUGAAAUUCGUAGAUAUUCGCAAGAACACCAGUGGCGAAGGCGGCUCACUGGCCCGGAACUGACGCUGAGACGCGAAAG